AUUGAACGCUGGCGGCAGGCUUAACACCUGCAAGUCGAGCGAGCGGCGGACGGGUGAGUAAUGUUUGGGAAACUGCCUGAUGGAGGGGGAUAACUACUGGAAACGGUAGCUAAUACCGCAUACCAUCAGAGGUGCCCAGAUGGGAAUAGAGAGUAGGUGGGGUAACGGCCCACCUAGGCGACGCUCCCUAGCUGGUCUGAGAGGAUUCCCAGGUAGAAUGGAAAUGUGACACGCUUCAGACUCCAACGUGAGGCGGCAGUGGGGAAUAUUGCACAAUGGGCGAUAGCCUGAAGCAGCCAAGGCGCGUUUGUGAAGAAGGCCUGCGGGUUGUAAAGCGCUAUCAGCGGGUAGGCGUUACCCGCAGAAGAAGCACCGGCUGACUCCAUGCCAGCAGCCACGGUAAUAC
rnacentral:rRNA from 1 species